AGCGAACGCUGGCGGCAGGCCUAACACAUGCAAGUCGAACGAACUCUUCGGAGUUAGUGGCGGACGGGUGAGUAACACGUGGGAACGUGCCUUUUGGUUCGGAAUAACUCAGGGAAACUUGUGCUAAUACCGAAUGUGCCCUUCGGGGGAAAGAUUUAUCGCCAUUAGAGCGGCCCGCGUCUGAUUAGCUAGUUGGUGAGGUAACGGCUCACCAAGGCGACGAUCAGUAGCUGGUCUGAGAGGAUGACCAGCCACACUGGGACUGAGACACGGCCCAGACUCCGAGGGGAGGAGGAAGGGGGGAAUGUUGGGAAAGGGGGAAAAGCCGAACACGCCCAUGCGGGGUGAAGAAUGAGGUUCUUGGGAUUGAAAAAUUCUUUCCGCGGGGAGGAAAAUGAGGGCACCGGGGAAAAAGCCCCGGACAAACUUGGGG
rnacentral:rRNA from 1 species